ACCAGGUUUCCCAAAUAAGUAUGAACACAAUAUAAACGAAACUUGGAAGAUUGAAGCUGGAAUUGGUAAUAAAGUCAUCUUACGGUUCACACACUUCGACUUAGAAUCCUGCUGUGACUAUGUAAAGGUGAUAUCAAAUUUAUUUUCAUUUGAUAAUAAUUUGAUUUUGAAUGAAACGCGUCUUCUUAUUGGCUAACCAUAUGUUGUUUAUCAGCUCAUAGACAUCAUUUUGUCAUGUGACUGUGACUUUAUCAACGUUUUCGCGUGAUUUAUUCCGGCUUAAAAUUUAAUUUAGAAUUAAAUUAUAAGGAAUGACUGUUAUACAUUUUUUUGUCUAUUCUGUCUAUUGGAAAUAAUAAUUAAAACAAAUCUGGUGCACACGCUACGUAGGUUAUUAGGUGUGCAUCAUAUUCUUAUUUAAUGUUAUUAACAGAAAGUUAAAACUUAUAUCAAGACAUCAUUGAUAAAGCAGUUUUAGUUAAUGUUCACGCAUUGUAAAUCAUAUAUAUAAAGUUGAAAUAUUCGAUGACUUGACUCCCUAAUUCACAUUAGUUUUACUUAUAUCGAACUGUUUGAACAAUGAUGAUAUAGCGCAAAGAAAACGAUAAUUGUUAAUUAUUAUGGAAGGCAAAUACAUUUGAGCCAAUAUAAUUUACAGAUACUCCAGUGCUUUAUCAAUUCCGAUGAAUUCUUAAUGUAAUAGAUUGCUGGUAAUUUGAGAUAAAUUAGUUCACGUAAUAAAUAACAGGUUAUAUUAGAAAUAUUGAUCAAUCAAAUAUUAUAAAGUUUAAUUUUGAAACAUUAGUGGUGUCUGAAUAUAAAAUUGAUAUUCUGUUUAAACAGAUGUCAUAUAUGAAAACUAAUUUUAUCUACAUUUUGUUCCUGACUACGCGCAUUUCGUUAACAUAAGAUUUCCCUUGACAAUCGAAUCAAUGAAAUAUUUAUACGCUUAAUAAUACCAUUUCAAAAGCAAACUUUCAUUAAGAUAGUUUCUUUAAAGGUGUCAACCAUAUCAUAAUAACAAUAGACAUGUCAGCAUAUAUAUUGUAUGAUUGCCAAUAUAUUAUCGAACUACCUAAACAUGCAUUUGAUGUAACUAAAGGUAACAUCAUACGACAUGUCGAAAAACAAAAACCGUAUCUGAAACUUUAAUAACUUUGUUAAAAUCCUCCCGGUUGUUGGUUGGGGUUUGUGAUGCUUAGUCUAAAAAUUUCUAUGCCGUGUCUUGUGUACUAUUAUUUGUCUGUUUGUGUUUUAAUUUUUAGCCAUGACGUUGUCAGUUUAUUUUCGAUCUUUGAGUUUGACUAUCCCUCUGGUAUCUUUCGUUCCUCUUACAUACUUGUAUCCAAAUAUAAGCUAAGACGUUAAUCCAAACAUCAGUGAAGACGUUAAUCUAAACAUCAAUUAAUACGUUAAUCCAAACAUCAGCUUAUAUGUUAAUCCACAUACAAGCUAAGACUGACAUCCAAACAUAAUCUAACACUUGUAUCCAUAUUUAAGCUAAGAAUAACUCCCAAACAUACGCUAAGAUUUUCACCCAAACAUACAAUGAGACCUUUAUCAAAACAUAAGCUAAGAUGUUUAUCCAAACAUAAGCUAACACUUGUAUCCAAACAUUAGCUAAGACUUACAUCCAAACAUAAGCUAAGACUACCAUCCAAGCAUAAGCGUAGACUUUCAUCCAAACAUAAAAGAGGGACGAAAUAUACUAGAGGGACAGUAAAUUUCAUAGGUUGACAAAAAUCUGACUAUCACAUGGCUUCAACUGAAAAAGACAAACAGACAAACAAUAGUACAGAAGGCAAAGCUUAGAAAACUAAAGACUAAACAACACGAACCCCACCAAAAAAGGGGUGAUCUCAGAUGCUCCUGAAGGGUAAACAGAACCUGCCCAACAUGUGGCACCCGUCUUGUAUUAUAUUAUUAUAUUAUUACAAAUCCGGUAAAAGGUCCAAUUUGGUAGGUCACAAUUGUGAAAAGGGUAACGACAUAAGAUGAUAUCCGGUAUCAUCAGUGAAACGGUUAUUCCAAAUGUUGUGUUAUUUAGUAAGAGUGAACAUCAUCUAUAUUGCGGAAAGUAAAGUCAAUUGAUGUUGCUAACUUUUUAUCAUUCUUCCUAAAGAGUUCCUCUAUGAAGUUAGCCUCGUAAUAAUCAAGAAACAAGUCGACAAGUAGACGGGCACAAUUGGUUUUCUUUGGAUUCGCGACAGUCUGAUGAAAAAUACGACCUCCAAACGUAACAUAUAUGUUGUCAAUCUAGAAAUCAAACAACUUGAUAAUGUCAGUUUGAGAUAUUUUUUUUGUUUGAAUCAGUGUGAAUCUUUACAAAAAAGGAUGAACCCCCUCAGGACAAGAUACAAAGCAAAGAGUUGCCUCCAAACAUAAAGAAGGACUUUGGGUACCAAGUCAGCAGGUGUUUUGUAAUGGUCAAUUUCUAUGUAUGUUAGGGUUUGUUUUUAAAGCAGUUUAGUGUAUAUGGUGGUCCGUUGUUUUCCUCAUCAAGUUGAUAUGUUUCACUUGGUUUUGUUUAUCACCCGGAUUUAUUUCAAUUAAAUCGAUUUAUGACUAUUGAACAGUGGUAUACUACUAGUGGCUUUAUUUGCCAAAACACACUCAUAAAUGAUAUAAGACAGAAUGCUGUGUGUUUUAUUAUAUAUAUCUUUUAUUUGUUGUAGGUCUAUGAAUGUGGUGUUAACAGACUUUUAGGUAGCUUUAAUGGUGAGGAACUUCCACCAGAAGUUCAAUCGAUCGGAAAUUGUAUAGCUUUUAUCAUGACAACGGACGGUUCCGUCAACAAAGCUGGAUUCAGUGCUAAUAUUUUCAAGUUAACAACCUAAACAGA
rnacentral:lncRNA from 1 species